AUCCCUAACCCGACCCAUCUUCUUCGUUGAAGCUUUGCUGCCACGCACGAUUUCGACCAACCUUUGCUGUCAUGCACGACUCUGGCCAAUCUCUACCGCCACGCGUCAUCUACAAGUCUCCGACGACCUAUUGUCAUCUCCACCACUCGUCUCAGGUUUCUGCCGCUCUUUCUGUCGUCACUCCGCCAUGCACAACCUACCUUUCAUCCAACCUCUAUCAUCGUCUAUAGGUUUUCGACAUUUCAAUGUUAGUCUGGACCAAGGAUAUAGGGCUCAAUCAAUCCCAACAUGAAGUUUAGGCUCUGAAGUAUCAUUUCAGGCUUUGGUUAAAAUUGGCUUCACGUUGGACUCUCCAGCUUUUUAUAUUGUCUGCAAGGUGUUGGCCGAACUGCUCAAGCUAAAAAUAGGCAUUCAAAUGGACAAGGAUGCUGGCCUAUUAAAUAUGUGAGAUUUAUUCUAGAUCUUAAGAAUGCUGAGAGUAAUGCCGAAGUGAAAGGACUGGAUAUUGAUUCUCUCAUCGUAUCCCACGUUCAGCUAUACUUCAAUUACUUGGUUGGACAACAAUAGCCAUCAGAUUACUAGAGGAUAGGGCAACUUUAUGAAAAUGUCGUUUGAUGAUAAUAAAUUUGAUGCAAUAUAUGCAAUCGAAGCCACUUGUCAUGCUCCAGACCCAGUAGGUUCUAAUGACAUUUCUGAAGUAUGGGUUUACAACAAUCAUUCUUUUGAAUUAACUGCUACUUCCUCUCUGGUAGUAUGGCUGCUUCAAGGAGAUCUAUAGAGUACUAAAGCCUGGCCAACGAUUUGCUACUUAUGAAUGGUGUUUGACCAACUCCUUCGAUCCAAACAACCAAGAUCACCAAAAAAAUAAAGGUUGAAAUUGAGAUUGGCAGUGAGGCUUCCAGAUAUCAAGACAAUAGGAAAGUGCCUGGAAGCUUUAUGUAGGAAAAUGAAAUUGUGUCUUAACCAAAGGACUAAAGAACCAAUGAUGAUAGUUAGCUCAUACCUAUAAUAUAAUCUUGAACACUUGUGGUGAACUUUGUUUUUUAGAGUUAAUUUGUGUUGUUGGUAUAUUUACUAAACUUUGUAUUUACCUUCAUAUCAUUUAGACCUUAACUUUAAUUAUCUAAAUUACUGAAUACUUUAUUUUGUAAUUUUAAUACAUUAUGAAUGAAGUAUUCAUUGUGCUAUGAAGUA